rnacentral:rRNA from 1 species
AGUGAACGCUGGCGGCAGGCCUAACACAUGCAAGUCGAGCGGCAGCGGGUUCCCGCGAGGGGAUGCCGGCGAGCGGCGGACGGGUGAGGAACACAUCGGAAUCUGCCUGGUUGUGGGGGAUAACGUAGGGAAACUUACGCUAAUACCGCAUGCGACCCUGAGUCGACGGACUUGGGGUGAAAGUGAGGGACCUUCGGGCCUCACGCGACCAGAUGAGCCGAUGUCGGAUUAGCUAGUUGGCGGGGGUAACGGCCCGCCAAGGCGACGAUCCGUAGCUGGUCUGAGAGGAUGAUCAGCCACACUGGGAC